UGGGGAAUAUUGGACAAUGGGCGAAAGCCUGAUCCAGCCAUGCCGCGUGUGUGAAGAAGGUCUUCGGAUUGUCAAGCACUUUAAGUUGGGAGGAAGGGCAGUAAGCGAAUACCUUGCUGUUUUGACGUUACCGACAGAAUAAGCACCGGCUAACUCUGUGCCAGCAGCCGCGGUAAUACAGAGGGUGCAAGCGUUAAUCGGAAUUACUGGGCGUAAAGCGCGCGUAGGUGGUUCGUUAAGUUGAAUGUGAAAGCCCCGGGCUCAACCUGGGAACUGCAUCCAAAACUGGCGAGCUAGAGGAGGGCAGAGGGGGGUGGAAUUUCCUGUGUAGCGGUGAAGUGCGUAGAUAUAGGAAGGAACACCAGUGGCGAAGGCGACCACCUGGGCUCAUACUGACACUGAGGUGCGAAAGCGUGGGGAGCAAACAGG
rnacentral:rRNA from 1 species